AAAUUGAAGAGUUUGAUCAUGGCUCAGAUUGAACGCUGGCGGCAGGCCUAACACAUGCAAGUCGAACGGUAACAGGAAGCAGCUUGCUGCUUUGCUGACGAGUGGCGGACGGGUGAGUAAUGUCUGGGAAACUGCCUGAUGGAGGGGGAUAACUACUGGAAACGGUAGCUAAUACCGCAUAACGUCGCAAGACCAAAGAGGGGGACCUUCGGGCCUCUUGCCAUCGGAUGUGCCCAGAUGGGAUUA
rnacentral:rRNA from 1 species